UUUACAAAUUGGUGUGACCCCAGAUGUUAUGGUUAGACGGAGUUACAAUUUAUUUCAAAUAUAUAUAGUAUUAGAGUUAAGUUUUAAAUGGCUUUUGAACAGGUGCAUUGAUUCUGUCAGUUUCGUAUCGAUAGAGAGACUAUUCCAUAGCUUAGCCCCACUGUAUUUAAAACUCUUUUUUAGGAAUUCUCUUUUAGGCUUAGGAAGAGCCAAAUCUGUAUGACUAUUUCUAAG